rnacentral:lncRNA from 1 species
GAGAGAGAGACUAAAGAGACACUAAAUAGCCACAGUGGCAGUUAAAGAGACACUGUCACUACACUAAAUAGCCACAGUGGCAGUUAAAGAGACACUAGAGAGACUAAAUAGCCACAGUGGCAAUUAAAGAGACACUGUCACUACACUAAAUAGCCACAGUGGCAGUUAAAGAGAGAGACUAAAGAGACACUAAAUAGCCACAGUGGCAGUUAAAGAGACACUGUCACUACACUAAAUAGCCACAGUGGCAGUUAAAGAGACACUAGAGAGACUAAAUAGCCACAGUGGCAAUUAAAGAGACACUGUCACUACACUAAAUAGCCACAGUGGCAGUUAAAGAGAGAGACUAAAGAGACACUGUCACUACACUAAAUAGCCACAGUGGCAACUAAAGAGACACUGUCACUACACUAAAUAGCCACAGUGGCAACUAAAGAGACACUGUCACUACACUAAAUAGCCACAGUGGCAGUUAAAGAGAGAGACUAAAGAGACACUGUCACUACAGUGGCAGUUAAAGAGAGAGACUAAAGAGACACUAAAUAGCCACAGUGGCAGUUAAAGAGAGGCUAAGGAAACA